AACGAACGCUGGCGGCAGGCUUAACACAUGCAAGUCGAACGGGUGUAGCAAUACACCAGUAGCAGACGGGUGAGUAACACGUGGGAACCUUCCUAGGGGUACGGAACAACUCAGGGAAACUUGAGCUAAUACCGUAUACGUCCGUGAGGCUAAAGAUUUAUCGCCCUUAGACGGGCCCGCGUCGGAUUAGCUAGUUGGUGUGGUAACGGCCUACAAAGGCGACGAUCCGUAGCUGAUCUCAGAGGAUGAUCAGCCACACUGGGACUGAGACACGGCCCAGACUCCGACGGGAGGCAGCAGGGGGGAAUCUUGGACAAUGGGCGCAAGCCUGAUCCAGCCAUGCCGCGUGAGUGAAGAAGGUCUUCGGAUUGUAAAGCUCUUUUGCCAGGGACGAUAAUGACGGUACCUGGAGAAUAAGCCCCGGCAAACUUCGUGCCAGCAGCCGCCGUAA
rnacentral:rRNA from 1 species